AGAGAGCCAGUCUGCACAGGAGCUCAGGUGUGACACAGAGAGCCAUUCUGUGCACAGGACCUCAGGUGUGACAGAGAGCCAGUCUGUGCACAGGAGCUCAGGUGUGACACAGAGAGCCAGUCUGUGCACAGGAGCUCAGGUGUGACACAGGGAGCCAUUCUGUGCACAGGACCUCAGGUGUGACAGAGAGCCAGUCUGUGCACAGGAGCUCAGGUGUGACACAGAGAGCCAGUCUGUGCACAGGAGCUCAGGUGUGACAGAGAGCCAGUCUGCACAGGAGCUCAGGUGUGACACAGAGAGCCAGUCUGUGCACAGGAGCUCAGGUGUGACACAGAGAGCCAGUCUGUGCACAGGAGCUCAGGUGUGACACAGAGAGCCAGUCUGUGCACAGGAGCUCAGGUGUGACACAGAGAGCCAGUCUGUGCACAGGAGCUCAGGUGUGACACAGAGAGCCAGUCUGUGCACAGGAGCUCAGGUGUGACACAGAGAGCCAGUCUGUGCACAGGAGCUCAGGUGUGACACAGAGAGCCAGUCUGCACAGGAGCUCAGGUGUGACACAGAGAGCCAGUCUGUGCACAGGAGCUCAGGUGUGACACAGAGAGCCAGUCUGCACAGGAGCUCAGGUGUGACACAGAGAGCCAGUCUGUGCACAGGAGCUCAGGUGUGACACAGAGAGCCAGUCUGUGCACAGGAGCUCAGGUGUGACACAGAGAGCCAGUCUGUGCACAGGAGCUCAGGUGUGACACAGAGAGCCAGUCUGUGCACAGGAGCUCAGGUGUGACACAGAGAGCCAGUCUGUGCACAGGAGCUCAGGUGUGACACAGAGAGCCAGUCUGUGCACAGGAGCUCAGGUGUGACACAGAGAGCCAGUCUGUGCACAGGAGCUCAGGUGUGACACAGAGAGCCAGUCUGUGCACAGGAGCUCAGGUGUGACACAGAGAGCCAGUCUGUGCACAGGAGCUCAGGUGUGACACAGAGAGCCAGUCUGUGCACAGGAGCUCAGGUGUGACACAGAGAGCCAGUCUGCACAGGAGCUCAGGUGUGACACAGAGAGCCAGUCUGUGAACCUCAGGCAUGGCACAGAGAUCUGCUCUGAGCUUGGGCAUGGGCCCCUGUCCUCACAUCCAACAUCACAUCCACAGGAGCAAACACCAAGCAAAUACAAGGCCAGGGAAACAGCACUGAGCACCUGGAACA